UACGUAGGGGGCAAGCGUUGUCCGGAAUUAUUGGGCGUAAAGAGCGCGUAGGCGGUCCGAUAAGUCGGCUGUGAAAGUCAGGGGCUCAACCCUUGGAAGCCGGCCGAUACUGUCGGACUAGAGUCCGGAAGAGGCGAGUGGAAUUCCCGGUGUAGCGGUGAAAUGCGCAGAUAUCGGGGAGGAACACCAAUGGCGAAGGCAGCUCGCUGGGACGGUACUGACGCUGAGGCGCGAAAGCGUGGGGAGCAAACAGG
rnacentral:rRNA from 1 species